CCUACGGGAGGCUGCAGUGGGGGAUAUUGCACAAUGGGGGAAACCCUGAUGCAGCGACGCCGCGUGUAGGAAGACGGUCCUCUGGAUUGUAAACUACUGUCCCCAGGGACGAAGAUGACGGUACCUGGGGGGGAAGCUCCGGCUAACUACGUGCCAGCAGCCGCGGUAAUACGUAGGGAGCGAGCGUUGUCCGGAAUUACUGGGUGUAACGGGAGCGUAGGCGGGGAUGCAAGUUGGGUGUUAAAUCUACCGGCUCAACUGGUAGUCGCACUCAAAACUGCAGCUCUUGAGUGAAGUAGAGGCAGGCGGAAUGCCUGGUGUAGCGGUGAAAUGCGUAGAUAUUAGGAGGAACACCAGUGGCGAAGGCGGCCUGCUGGGCUUUUACUGACGCUGAGGCUCGAAAGUGUGGGGAGCAAACAGGAUUAGAUACCCCAGUAGUC
rnacentral:rRNA from 1 species